UAACAUUUUCCUCACAGACUCAAAUGUAGAAUGUUUAGCUAACUAGCUGUCUUUUCUCACAUAUAUGAAAACGGAAACGUUUACCAAGACUAAUAAUAAAGUGGUAUUCUAACACCUGUCUACCAUUGAAGUAUUUACAUUUGGAUUAAGAGCUAAUGACCUCUUCUGAUGUCAUCAUGUCACCAAACAGCGGUGCAAUUAUGGCAGGCAGCAGUGGGUAUGUCUUCUGGAGUGGGCGUGUUUCUUGAUGGGAUUGACAGCUGUCUGUCUCUACAGGAGGACCAAGAAAACCAAUUCUCAGAGACCUACAGCCAGACAGGAUGAUCACAGACAAU